rnacentral:rRNA from 1 species
AAUCCAUAGGUUAAUGAGGCGAACCGGGGGAACUGAAACAUCUAAGUACCCCGAGGAAAAGAAAUCAACCGAGAUUCCCCCAGUAGCGGCGAGCGAACGGGGAGGAGCCCAGAGCCUGAAUCAGCAUGUGUGUUAGUGGAAGCGUCUGGAAAGGCGCGCGAUACAGGGUGACAGCCCCGUACACAAAAGCGCAUGUGCUGUGAGCUCGAUGAGUAGGGCGGGACACGUGGUAUCCUGUCUGAAUAUGGGGGGACCAUCCUCCAAGGCUAAAUACUCCUGACUGACCGAUAGUGAACCAGUACCGUGAGGGAAAGGCGAAAAGAACCCCGGCGAGGGGAGUGAAAAAGAACCUGAAACCGUGUACGUACAAGCAGUGGGAGCACAGGUUUACCUGUGUGACUGCGUACCUUUUGUAUAAUGGGUCAGCGACUUAUAUUCUGUAGCAAGGUUAACCGAAUAGGGGAGCCGGAGGGAAACCGAGUCUUAAUUGGGCGUUAAGUUGCAGGGUAUAGACCCGAAACCCGGUGAUCUAGCCAUGGGCAGGUUGAAGGUUGGGUAACACUAACUGGAGGACCGAACCGACUAAUGUUGAAAAAUUAGCGGAUGACCUGUG